GACGAACGCUGGCGGCGUGCCUAAUACAUGCAAGUCGAACGCUUCUUUCCUCCCGAGUGCUUGCACUCAAUUGGAAAGAGGAGUGGCGGACGGGUGAGUAACACGUGGGUAACCUACCCAUCAGAGGGGGAUAACACCUGGAAACAGGUGCUAAUACCGCAUAACAGUUUAUGCCGCAUGGCAUAAGAGUGAAAGGCGCUUUCGGGUGUCGUUGAUGGAUGGACCCGCGGUGCAUUAGCUAGUUGGUGAGGUAACGGCUCACCAAGGCCACGAUGCAUAGCCGACCUGAGAGGGUGAUCGGCCACACUGGGACUGAGACACGGCCCAGACUCCUACGGGAGGCAGCAGUAGGGAAUCUUCGGCAAUGGACGAAAGUCUGACCGAGCAACGCCGCGUGAGUGAAGAAGGUUUUCGGAUCGUAAAACUCUGUUGUUAGAGAAGAACAAGGACGUUAGUAACUGAACGUCCCCUGACGGUAUCUAACCAGAAAGCCACGGCUAACUACGUG
rnacentral:rRNA from 1 species